rnacentral:misc_RNA from 1 species
UUUGGAUUCCUGGGACCAAAAUACGAAGGAAUAUCAUGGAAAACUUCUUCAAAAAAAUUCGGAAUCAUCAUCUCACAUUUUGAGAAAACUCCAAGGCUAUAGGCUUACCGUUUUUUCGGGCUGAAAGGUGAAAUAAUUGCCAGAAUAAUUCCAGGACGCUGAUCCUUUGUAAAAAUGCGCAACGAACACGACGCCGUCGAUCAAAUUGAUCUGGCAUCAAAUCCCAACGAUUUGGAUUUCUGGGACCAAAAUACGAAGGAAUAUCAUGGAAAACUCCUUCAAAAAAAUUCGGAAUCAUCAUCUCACAUUUUGAGAAA